UUCAGGUUGUCAAGGGAAUGUGGACUGUUGCAGAAGUCCGAAGAAGCUACACAGACAGGCAUAGAUGAUCAAUACCCUCGAGCAUCUGUGUUAUCGCAGCCACUUUCCAGCCCCCCCGCCUGCUUCCUCCCACCACGUUCCUUCAAGCUCAGCUGACGGCCUAACCAGAGCAAACCUCCCUGAUCUCCUUUGAUGUGGGCUCCUUGGAGAGACGUGAAAUGAAAAAAGGCGCUCGCUCGAAACCGCCCCGGUAAGACCUAAUCAGCUGCCGUGGCGACUUCCAUUUAGUGCA